rnacentral:rRNA from 1 species
GGCGGCAUGCCUUACACAUGCAAGUCGAACGGCAGCACGGGUGCUUGCACCUGGCGGCGAGUGGCGAACGGGUGAGUAAUACAUCGGAACAUGUCCUGUAGUGGGGGAUAGCCCGGCGAAAGCCGGAUUAAUACCGCAUACGAUCUACGGAUGAAAGCGGGGGACCUUCGGGCCUCGCGCUAUAGGGUUGGCCGAUGGCUGAUUAGCUAGUUGGUGGGGUAAAGGCCUACCAAGGCGACGAUCAGUAGCUGGUCUGAGAGGACGACCAGCCACACUGGGACUGAGACACGGCCCAGACUCCUACGGGAGGCAGCAGUGGGGAAUUUUGGACAAUGGGCGAAAGCCUGAUCCAGCAAUGCCGCGUGUGUGAAGAAGGCCUUCGGGUUGUAAAGCACUUUUGUCCGGAAAGAAAUCCUUGGCUCUAAUACAGUCGGGGGAUGACGGUACCGGAAGAAUAAGCACCGGCUAACUACGUGCCAGCAGCCGCGGUAAUACGUAGGGUGCGAGCGUUAAUCGGAAUUACUGGGCGUAAAGCGUGCGCAGGCGGUUUGCUAAGACCGAUGUGAAAUCCCCGGGCUCAACCUGGGAACUGCAUUGGUGACUGGCAGGCUAGAGUAUGGCAGAGGGGGGUAGAAUUCCACGUGUAGCAGUGAAAUGCGUAGAGAUGUGGAGGAAUACCGAUGGCGAAGGCAGCCCCCUGGGCCAAUACUGACGCUCAUGCACGAAAGCGUGGGGAGCAAACAGGAUUAGAUACCCUGGUAGUCCACGCCCUAAACGAUGUCAACUAGUUGUUGGGGAUUCAUUUCCUUAGUAACGUAGCUAACGCGUGAAGUUGACCGCCUGGGGAGUACGGUCGCAAGAUUAAAACUCAAAGGAAUUGACGGGGACCCGCACAAGCGGUGGAUGAUGUGGAUUAAUUCGAUGCAACGCGAAAAACCUUACCUACCCUUGACAUGGUCGGAAUCCCGCUGAGAGGUGGGAGUGCUCGAAAGAGAACCGGCGCACAGGUGCUGCAUGGCUGUCGUCAGCUCGUGUCGUGAGAUGCUGGGUUAAGUCCCGCAACGAGCGCAACCCUUGUCCUUAGUUGCUACGCAAGAGCACUCUAAGGAGACUGCCGGUGACAAACCGGAGGAAGGUGGGGAUGACGUCAAGUCCUCAUGGCCCUUAUGGGUAGGGCUUCACACGUCAUACAAUGGUCGGAACAGAGGGUUGCCAACCCGCGAGGGGGAGCUAAUCCCAGAAAACCGAUCGUAGUCCGGAUUGCACUCUGCAACUCGAGUGCAUGAAGCUGGAAUCGCUAGUAAUCGCGGAUCAGCAUGCCGCGGUGAAUACGUUCCCGGGUCUUGUACACACCGCCCGUCACACCAUGGGAGUGGGUUUUACCAGAAGUGGCUAGUCUAACCGCAAGGAGGACGGUCACCACGGUAGGAUUCAUGACUGGGGUGAA